AUUAAUUGAAGAAUUAUUGUGAUAGUGCUGAGAAAGGUCUUCCUAGUCGCCUAGUCAAUAAUGAAGUUGAAGAAGUCAGAAAACCAGUGGCAGGCUUAUGGGUACCACAACGGUGCCUAUUUCUGCCGUGAACCAGUAAUAUGUAAACAUUACUGUUUCGGUCUGAAGGGUGCCGCAGCUAGUGAAAUUACUGGGCAAAUGAGACUUAACAUCUUAUGUCUCAAGGUGACGAGCGCAAUUGUAGUGCCCCUCAGAAUUUUUAGGUUUUUCACGAAUGAUGAGCGGCUUUGCAUUGUUAUGGGCAGGGCGUAUCAAUUGCCAUCAGCUGAUCGUCCUGCUUGUCUCGUGUCUUACUGUCGUAAAAAAAUGUCCUGUGGUGGAAUUCUUAACUCGACUUAUUUACUACUAGAGAGCAUUUUAACACAUAUCUUUUUUUUUAUAUUAUUUUGCAUCCUGCUCCGAUGCUACAUUUGUACAUUGGUGCGAGUGAGAUGAUACGCUUUACUAUAGCACGUUUGAAUUUGGUUUUAAAGAGAACAAUUUAUGUAAAUGUAUAAAUAGUUUACGUAAGGUGUACAUAUAUACAGUUUGAAUAAAACAUGAGCUCAUAAA